GCGAAACUCCGUCUCACUAUUUUAUAAGAAAAAUAAGCCAAAAUUAAAUACUCUUUUGGAUAUGAAUUUCAAAAGUGAGAUAGCUGCCUAAUAGAAAUGAAUAAUAUCCCAGCCACUAGUGUACAGGGUGUUUUGUGGCAAAGGAGCAUGUAAUACGGAACUGCUCAAGCAAAUAACUAGUCCUCACAACAGCAGUUCUUUGUAAUAACUGAAAAAGAAUACUGUUUCUCUGAGAAGGAUGUCAAAAGAUCGACCCAGCUCAGGGAGCAGUUUGCUCUACUAGCUCCUCGGACAGCUGUAAGAAGAGUCUCUGGCUCUUUAGAAUACUGAUUCCAUUGAAGAUACCACGUUGCAUGUGUCCUUAGUAGUCAUGCCUCCUUUGGCUCUCUUGGACAUUCUGAGUAUGUGAGACCUGAAGACUGCAAACAUCUUUAAGAGGCUCCAAAUUCAGCAGAUCUUUCCCUUUGAGAAUCUGGGAAGCUCCAGCUAAUCUACCUGAAUGGGUUGCUGGCCACCUGGAGAAAAAGAUCUUCCUCAGAAGAAUAGGCUUGUUGCUUUAUACAGUGUUAGUGAUCCAUUCCCUUUGACGAUCCCUAGGUGGAGAUGGGGCAUGAGGAUCCUCCAGGGGAAAAGCUCACUACCACUGGGCAACAACCCUAGGUCAUGAGGUUCUGUCAAGAUACUUUCCUGGUCCCAGAUAGGAAGACAAAGUCUCAAAGACAACCACCACAUGUCAAGGAGAACAUGGACAACUGUCACAUCAGUGACUGGUCACAUGGGCAAAUCAUUCUGUUCCAUCUGGUCCCCAAUGUCUCUCUUAAAGCCUUACAGAAAAACUUUGCCGAUCAUUUACGUACUUCAAGAUGGCUUGGGAUGCCACGGGUUACAACACAACAAGUGAGAGCUCUUCAUUGUUCCUAUCUGCCAAAUCAUUAUCCUGCCUACAAGCAGUGCAGAGAGCUGGGUCUUCAACAGGUCCAAGAAAUUUGAACAUACUGAAAGAAGUCAGCCUUCCUACCUGAAGAUCAACAUACAUGCCUGGCACUCUAGCACUUAAGGAUAUUGGAAUGAAUAUCUUGUCUCUUCUGCUACUUAGUACCUCUGAAUGUCUGCAUUUGCUUGUCUCUUGCACUCGUGUGUAUUUCUUUGUCUUUGUUCUUUCUUCUCUUUGUUUCUCUAUACUUCUUCCUUGUCUUUGUUAUCUAUCUAAAGUGUGUCUUAUCCAUUUCCGUGUUUUCUCUUGCUAAUUUCUUUCAUGUGUGCCUUUGCCUCAUUUUCUCUUGUUCACAAAGAGUGGUCUGUGCCUUGUCUUAGACAUAAGUCUCAUUUUUCAUUUUAUUGCUGUUUCUCUUUGUUUUCCUAGAUGUGGCUGUUAUUUCACUCUUUAUUUCAUGUCUCCUUUUGGGUCACAUGCUUUGUGCUUUUUGUCCAUUUCUUGUUCUGCCUACCUCUCCUUUCUCUGCCUACCUCUUUUUUCUCUUCAUGAACUGUGACUAUUUGUUAUCCCUUCCCCUUAUUUGUUGUAAAUUUCACCUUUUUCUGAGUCUGGCCUCCUUUCUGCUGUUUCUACUUUUUAAUCUCACAUUUCUCAUUUCUACAUUUCCUUUCUGCCUCUCUUGGGCCAUUUUCUCUCUCUUUCCUCCCCUGUGUUCCUCAGUGUCUCUUGCUGUUUGUGAUUUUCUAUUUCACUAUUAAUCUCUGUUUGCUUGUGUUUCUUCUCUGCUUCUUCCCUUUCUACUCACCUUUGAGUAUUUCAGCCUCAUCAUGAGUCUGUCUCCCUCUCUUUGAUUUCAUGUAUUCUUCUCUCCUUAAAUAUUUCUUUGCAUAUGUGGGCAUGUGUACGUGUGUGUGUGUCAUGUGUGGCAGAGGGGCUUCCUAACCCCUGCCUGAUAGGUGCAGAACAUUGGCUAUCAGAAGUAAGCAUUAUGGAGUGGUUCCAUAUGCCAGGCUGCCGUGUGAGAUGAUCCAAAACCAAAACAAGGCCAUAGGAUCUAGACUGCAGUAAAACCCAAUACUCAAGUAGGAAAGAAGGUGGAAGGCUUAUAUGGAUAGAAGGCCCAAAGUAGAAGACAGAUGGUUUGAAACUUGAGACUUGAGGACUAAGAUGGAAAACCCAUGUUCCAAGAUAGAUAGAAGCCUCUGUCCUGAAACUAACAAAAGCCUCAAGAGCCAAGGAAACAGAGGGUGGCCUGAAUUGGACAGAAGGCCUGAGUUGGAUGUAAUGUUCAAGUCUUGAGUUAGAAGGCUUAAGACCUGGGAUAGGACACGUACGUGGAAGGCCUGAGACUGAGACUUGUGACACAAAGCCAAAGACCUACGAUUAGCCCCAGGUUGUAGGUGGAAGACCUACAACCCAAGGAUGGAAGGCUCCUGAUAAAAAGCCUACCUAGAUGGAUAGAGGACCCAAGUGAAACAGAUGAUCUCAAGACUAAAGGCCAGAAUGUGGAGGCCCAUGACCCAGAAUCCAGGAAGAAUAGAAGCUUGAAGACCCGGGGAAAUCCCAAGAUGAGAACCCUAAACACUACCUCUUUUCUAUUGUUAUACUUCUUACUCUUAGAUAUUUCCAGUUCUCCUGUUUCUCUUGAAGUUUGAUUCUUUUGAGAUGUACUUUUUGAUAUUGCCAGUUACCUUAAAGGAACAUAUCUUUAGGUUGACAGUAUUAUGCCUGGGCCAGUCUUGAGCCAGUUUUAAAUCACAGUUUUUACCUCUUUGUUAGGCUUUAGUGUUUUGUAAACUUCUGUUUCUAUUCACAUCUACUCCACUUGAGAGAGACAACAAAAUCCAGCCAGUAUCUAAUCUGGCUUUUGUUAAUCCCCUCAGGAGCAAGCAUUCAUAUAGGUGAUAUUAUAUUUCAGUCUUCCCUUUUAACCUCAGAAGCCCUAGACUGAUGAGAAGGUAAAAUGGUCAGGUUGUUGGGGAAAAAAUGUGGCAGGUUCUCUAGAGAAAAAUGUGAAGAGAUGCUCCAGGUCAAUGAGAAGAAUUAGACAAGAAAUACACAGAUGUGCCAGACUUCUGAGAAGCACCUGCCAGCAACAGCUUCCUUCUUUGAGCUUAGGUGAGCAGGAUUCCUGGGGUUUGGGGUUUCUAGUGAUGGCCUGGGAUAAAGUGAGGUCCCAAAGAGACAGCCUGAACUCCCUGCUCAUAGUAGUGGCCAAAUAAUUUGGUGGACUGUGCCAACCCUACUCCUGGGUUUAAUACCCAUCUCUAGGCUUAAAGAUGAGAAAACCUCAGACUAUUUAGCACAUUUAAUACUUUCCUUGAUUUUUUUCUUUCCAUUUACGUGGGAAGUUGAUUUAAAUGACUGAUAAUGUAUAUGAAAGCACUGUAAAACCGAGAAAAACCAAGGCGUGCUCCUUAAUAGUGUAUUGGGAAUCAUGCACAGUUAACAUUUGAAAGUGCAAUGUAAGUUGUGAAGCAUUAUGUAAAUCAGGGGUCCACAAUUUUUCUGUAAGUAGUCAAAUCAUAAAUACUUUAGACUGUGGGCCAUAUGGUUUCUGUUACAUAUUCUUUUUUUAAAUAACCUUUUUAUAAGGUCAAAAUAAUUCUUAGCUUUUGAGCCAGUUGGAUUUGGCCUGCUGUUCAUAGCUUACCACCCCUUGAUGUAUUAUUUGUUAUUCAGAGAAAAUGUCUGAAUACUACUGAUUUCCUUUUCUGUGUCUGCCCUGUGCUAGGCACUAAAAAUGCAAUGAUUAUUUGUGAUCACAUCCAGGUGACCUGAAGAAAAAUAGUGAAUGUGCUUUGUAAACUAUAAAGCACUUGUAUUCUAUUGUGAUAAUCAUUGUGGAUACAAAGAAAGGAGCAAGCAAGAAAAAGUGCUCUUUCAAAAGGAUCUAGUACUAUGCAGAUACUAGGAAUUAAGUGUUUGAUAAAUGAAUAAAUUGUAUGUAUUUUGAGGCUAAUUUGUUUCUGCUGCUCUGGUGAUUUUGACUAAAAAUGCAGUAUUCCAGGUAUCAGAAAUGAGAACACAUGGAAACUGCUUUUAAACUUUAAAAUAUACUGAAAACAAGGGACUAAGCUUAUUGUGGUCACCUAUAGUGUGCCAGAUACCAUUCUGGGCACUAGAGAUCACAAAGGGGAAAAAAUGUUCUCAUAGAACAAAAAGCUUCAGAAAGGUGCAUAUUAAAGUGCCUUGUAAACUAAAGCACGAUACAAAUGUCAAUGGGCUACAUAUUUAUGAAUGAAUGAGUAUUAACUGCCUCUUACAUACUAGCUAUUGUUUUGGGUACUGUGAAAUACAAGAUUAAUUCUCCUAUGUAAUAGGAGGAAAAUUUAUCCUCUGUACUAUUUAGAUGUAAGGAAGGAGAUACUGCUUAAACAGUCAAGACUUUAGUGGUGAGGUCAAGUUAAAUUAUUACUGGUAUAUUUUCCCAGGUCACCCGGGAAGAGACAGAAUGAGGAAAUGAAGUAAUAGAUAUGAGAUCCAGACCAAAAGUCACUUAAUUAAGCUUGCGAAUGUGGUUUCUAAAUUAUAAGGCACUUGUAAAUGUUAAAAAAAAGUCGAUGUUUUCUUUAUGAAUAAAACUUUCUGUAAGAUAAGUAUUGUCUGCAAAAUUCUCAUUGUAUACUUAAACCACAAUGAGAAGGGUUCUAUAAGUAGUUAUACAAAUUAAGGGUUUAAAUACCUGUUAAAUGGAUCAAUUUUGGUUGCCUACUGUGUUAACUCACUGUUAAAGGCACUGAAAAUUUAUCAUAUUUCAUUUACCCACAGCCAAAAAUAAUGCAAUGCCUAUAUUAGCAUUUUGUGAACUCUAAGGCACCAAAUAAAUGUAACUAUUGAUUUUCUCACUUGGUGCUGAGUACUAGGUUUAUAAAAUUGUAUGAUAGUUGUUAUAUUGUGCAAAUAAAGCAGGAAAUUUUGAGUAACAAUGAUUAACUUUUAAAUAUUCAUAUGCAAGGGAUUGGUUGUCUGAAGUAUACCAGUAUAGUAGUCAACGAUUGUGUGCCAAUCUCAUUGCUAGGUACUGGAGAUGCAAAGAUAAACCAUCUUUAUUGUGUUCUGGGUAGCAGAAGAAAAUAUGUGUAAAAUCAAUUUAUAAUUUCUAAACUGCCACCCAUAUAUAAGCAAUAUCUGCUGAAUGAUUAUUGACCACUCUUAUCCUUAGAGAUAACAACUGGCACAAAAAUUUAUUAUCAUUAUUGAACAUACAACAGAAACCUACGUGUAAAUUUACAAAGUCUACAGUUCUAUACAGAUAGGAAUGAACUACUGGUUUACUGAACGGUGAUUACUUUCUGUGGGGCUCAGAACUACAUGUCCUAGGAUAUAAAAAUGAUGUUAUCAUUAUGGAGUGCUCACAGAAGGAAAUGAAGUAAUUAAUAGGUGUGAGAUCCAGACCAAAAGUCACUUAACAGGCUUAUUCAGUAAUGAAAGCAUGGGAUAAACGGACUUGUAUAAGGCAGUGUACUAAGCUAAGUAGAGAAAUAAAGUCCUGUCCAGAAGGAUACAUGCUCCCUGGCCUGACUGAAGAGAUGGAUUUUUUUUUUUUUUUUUUGCAAAAAGCAAGGUAUUGUAGUCUUCCAUCCAGUUUCUUAAAUGCUGGUGAUAGAAAUGAAUUAGACCCACCUUGGCCUGUCUUACAGGCAGUAAAGGAGUAAAAAUAAAGGCCUCAGGUUUGCUUUUUGAUUCAUUUGAUAAACAAAGCGUCUUUUAUGUGGAAUACACCAUUCUGGGUCCUGAGGAUAAGAGAUCACUGACAGCUGAAGAUAGAAAAUAUAUCUUCGGUUUGAUUGUGUAAAUAAUAUUUCAGUGCCUAGUCUCUGCAAGGCACUAUGCUUGGUAAAUUAGUAAAUUAAAUAGGUCUGGCCCAGAAGACCCAUUCAAUUGCCUUUGAUAUUAAAAAAAGAAAGAAAAAGGCAAAUUUCUUUCAAAAUAAAGAGACAUUUUUCUUAGUUUCAGGAAUCCCUAAAAUCACUUGCUCAUUGGCUUAGUUUGAAGCCAGGAGACUGAUAAAAGGGCUCAGGGUUUGUUAAUGUUUAAUUUAUUAAUUAAACAUUCUGUUCUUAAUACAGUUAAAUGGUUCAAGAUUAAACAACUAGUUUUAAACAACUAGUUUUAAAGGUAUUUGCUCAAUGACCUGGCUUAGAGGCAGGAAGACAUUUGAGUAACAAAAAAGAUUCUUUUACAUUUACCAUAUUUAGUAAAAAUUUAUUAAAACUGAAUAAAGUGCUGUUCUUAAGUGCUUGAAAGACUCAAACCAAAAUGCACUUUAUGUCAUCUUAUGGUGGAAACAUAAGAAGAAAUUCUAUAAAGAGAUUGUGUUUCUUUCUUUAGUUGAGAAAAAACUUCAUUGAGUAGCUGUGGUAUGUUCAAUGCUAAGGAAAAAUUAAACAGAUCAUCUUUGGCAUGCUCUGUAGAGUCGGAAUAAGAGAGGGCUUUUUAUUUUUUCAUUCAUACGAAUAUUGAUGAAGAUGAUAUUAAAUGCUAAAUGAAAUAAAUCUGCUCCAAAAGGCAUUUAUUCUGGCUCGGAGAUACAAGAAAAGCACAAGUGAUACUCUACAUCAAACAGAAGUUGACUGUUACGUCAACCACUGUGUUAAACCCUAGACAGAAAAUAAAAAAGAUCAUGAUUAAAGACACUUGCUUAUUAAUUGGCUUGGAGACUAGAAUAUAGGAGAAAGUUUAGUGCAUUUUUUUUUUAAUUUAUUCAUUCAUUCUACAAAUAUAUUUGGGUGCCAAUCGUACUUGGUAUAAGGUUUUUGGUAGGUUCUUAUUUGACCCCAGAGACAUGGGGGAAAAAAAAAUGCAUGUUCCCAGAGAACGCCUGAUACUUUCCUUUUGGCCUGUUUUCUUGUUACGGGCAUGGCUUAGUCCCUAAAUAACCUUAUGUGGUUUAAUUCCUACUCCGUAUCUCUUCUACCACUCUGGCCACUACAAUAAGCAGGUAGCUGGGUUUUGUAGUGAGCUUGCUCCUUCAGAUGCAGGAACUCUCCAUAUAAUAGACAGUUGAUUUUCCUAGCCCAUCCCUCUUGAAAAACGACUGACCACUGCUGGGCAGAAGGAGGGAUGAUGACCAACUAAUUCCCAAACCCCAGUCUUAUUGGUACCAGCCUUGGGGAACCACCUAUUCUUGAGGCACAGUUGGUUUUGAAGUGCAUUUACAAGAUUUGUCUGUCUUCAGUUUUUUACUUUUUACGUGCUGGCACAUACAUACACUGCCUAAAUAGAUCUCUUUCCGAAACAGUCUUCAGAUAACACAUAGCAGAAUGGAGAUGGAGACAUGAUUUCUCUUGCAACAGCUUCUCAACUUAGAAAUGUUCUCCUUUUUAAUCAUUAAAUUUGCUCAAGAAGGGCAUUUUAUAGUAGAAUAAUAUCUGGAUGAAAACAGCUUAACAUUUUACCAUGCUUAAGUUUUAAGAAUAAAAUAAAAAUUGGAAAUAAUUGGCCAAAAUUGAAAGGAAUUUUUUUUAAAGUUCUCUAAAUGUAGGCCUGACUGGGCUUUGACCUUUUCCAUUUUAAAAUCACUCACAGAGGGCGGGACAGGAGGAAGAGUGAAGGAAAAGGUCAAACCUAUUUCCAAGGGCAGCCUUCCUUUGUUCUGAAUUGGCCUUAAGAACAUUAGCUGCUGAAGGUCUAAAUUGUUUCAUGCAGUUCCAAUAACUGAUAAUUGUUGAGAUGAGAACAAAAUUCUUUGUCCUCACUAGUUUGCUUCACAUUUUUGAAAAGUAAUUAUUUUUGUCCCAUUGCUUAUCAAAUAAACCUUGUGUUAGGUAAGAAUAGAAUGUAUUAAGUGAAUCAGUGUGACCCCCUCUAUUGUAAGAUUAUCUUAAAGCUGAAGCCAAAAUUGCUUCAAAGGAAGACUUUAUUGUUCAUUGUAGUUCAUAUAUACUUUCUCUAAACUGUAGUUUUCCAUGGCAAGCCAAUUACAUCCAUAAGUGGAGAAGGAAAUUGAUAAAUGUCAAAGUAUGAUUGGUGGAGGGAGCAAGGUUGAAGAGAAUCUGGGGUUGAAAUUUUCUAGUUUCCGUUCUGUACAUUUUUAGACAUCAGGUUUGAAAUAUUAAUGUUUGUCUUUUAAUGUGUGGUAUCAGCUGGACUCAGUAACAUCCCUUUCUUCAGGUGGGGAUGGGGAAUGCAUUAUUGGAAAAUGGAAAGAAGAAAGUAAAAGCCUUCCUUUCACAGUUUCUGGCAUCACCACCACUACUGAUUAAACAAGAAUAAGAGAACAUUUUAUCAUCAUGUGCUUUAUUCACACAAAUGAAGUUGUGAUGAAUAAAUAUGCUUUUAUGCAGACACAAGGAAUUAAGUGGCUUCAUUGCUGCCCUUCAACCUCAAAGAGAAUUUAUUCCAGAAUGCUAAGAUAAAUGGAAGACUCUUGAAUUUGUGAACUGAUGUGAAAUGCAGACUCUCUUUUGAAGACUGAAAAACAUUGUUCAGCAUGUGUGACCACCAAAAAGCAAUCUUAAGCCAUCUAGAUGUAAAAACUGAAGCAAACUGGGGAGUUGGUUGCUACUGUAAAAUAAAAUAUACUGUUUUGAAAACUUGA